AGAGGGUUCGGCCCUCGGCAGACGGCUCAGUAACACGUGGAUAAUCUGCCCUUAGGUGGAGGAUAACCUCGGGAAACUGAGAAUAAUACUCCAUAGAUCUAGGAUGCUGGAAUGCACUUAGAUUAAAAGUUCCGACGCCUAAGGAUGAGUCUGCGGACUAUCAGGUUGUAGUCAGGGUAAAGACCUGACUAGCCUACAACGGAUACGGGUUGUGAGAGCAAUAACCCGGAGACGAUAUCUGAGACACGAUAUCGGGCCCUACGGGGCGCAGCAGGCGCGAAACCUUCACAAUGUGCGAAAGCACGAUGAGGGAAUCCCAAGUGCUUGCUCGUAAGAGUAAGCUGUUUUUAUGUCUAAAAAGCAUAGAGAGUAACGGCUGGGUAAGACGGGUGCCAGCCGCCGCGGUAAUACCUGCAGCUCAAGUGGUGACCACUAUUAUUGGGCCUAAAACGUUCGUAGCCGGUUUGGUAAAUGCCUGGGUAAAUCGUGUAGCUUAACUAUACGAAUUCCGGGUAGACUGCCAAACUUGAGACCGGGAGAAGCUAGAGGUACUCCUGGGGUAGAGGUGAAAUUCUGUAAUCCUGGGGGGACCACCAGUGGCGAAGGCGUCUAGCUAGAACGGGUUUGACGGUGA
rnacentral:rRNA from 1 species